GCGAACUGCGGGCUGGCAGGCGUGGUAAUACGAAGGGGGGAAUCGGUAAUCGGAAUGACUGGGCGUAAAGCGUGCGUAGGCGGUUCUUGAAGUCUGCUGUGAAAUCCCCGGGCUCAACCUGGGAAUGGCAGUGGAUACUGGGGAGCUAGAGUGUGAUAGAGGAUGGUGGAAUUCCCGGUGUAGCGGUGAAAUGCGUAGAGAUCGGGAGGAACAUCAGUGGCGAAGGCGGCCAUCUGGAUCAACACUGACGCUGAGGCACGAAAGCGUGGGGAGCAAACAGGAUUAGAUACCCCAGUAGUC
rnacentral:rRNA from 1 species